GACGAACGCUGGCGGCGUGCUUAACACAUGCAAGUCGAACGGUGAUGGGUGGAGCUUGCUCUGCUUUGAUCAGUGGCGAACGGGUGAGUAACACGUGAGUAACCUGCCCCAGACUCUGGAAUAACCCCGGGAAACCGGUGCUAAUACCGGAUAUGACACAGAAUCGCAUGGUUUCUGUGUGGAAAGUUUUUCGGUUUGGGAUGGACUCGCGGCCUAUCAGCUUGUUGGUGAGGUAAUGGCUCACCAAGGCGACGACGGGUAGCCGGCCUGAGAGGGCGACCGGCCACACUGGGACUGAGACACGGCCCAGACUCCUACGGGAGGCAGCAGUGGGGAAUAUUGCACAAUGGGCGCAAGCCUGAUGCAGCGACGCCGCGUGAGGGAUGAAGGCCUUCGGGUUGUGAACCUCUUUCAGCUCUGAAGAAGCGAAAGUGACGGUAGGAGCAGAAGAAGCACCGGCUAACUACGUGCCAGCAGCCGCGGUAA
rnacentral:rRNA from 1 species